rnacentral:sRNA from 1 species
AGCAGCCGCGGUAAUUCCAGCUCCAAUAGCGUAUAUUAAAGUUGUUGCAGUUAAAAGCUCGUAGUUGAAUUUCGGGAUCAGUAUGUUGGUCGUGCUUCGGUACGUAUUGUCAUUACUGGUUUCUACCUUCUGAAGAACCAUGAUGUCAUUAAUUUGGUGCCAUGGGGAAUCAGGACUGUUACUUUGAAAAAUUAGAGUGUUUAAAGCAGGCUCACGUUUGAAUACAUUAGCAUGGAAUAAUGAAAUAGGACGUUUGAUUCUAUUUUGUUGGUUUCUAGGAUCGACGUAAUGAUUAAUAGGGAUAGUUGGGGGCAUUAGUAUUCAAUUGUCAGAGGUGAAAUUCUUGGAUUUAUUGAAGGCUAACUACUGCGAAAGCAUUUGCCAAGGAUGUUUUCAUUAAUCAAGAACGAAGUUAGGGGAUCGAAGACGAUCAGAUACCGUCGUAGUCUUAACCAUAAACUAUGCCGACUAGGGAUCGGAUGAUGUAUUUUAAUGA